UCCGGUUUGUCACCGACAGUCUCACAUGAGUCCCCAACUAAAUGCUGGCAACAUGCGACAAGGGUUGCGCUCGUUGCGGGACUUAACCCAACAUCUCAAGACACGGGCUGACGACAGCCAUGCACCACCUGUGAAGGUGCCCCGAAGGGAAGCCGUGUUUCCACGGCGGUCACCCGCAUGUCAAGCCCAGGUAAGGUUCUUCGCGUUGCGUCGAAUUAAACCACAUGCUCCGCUGCUUGUGCGGGCCCCCGUCAAUUCCUUUGAGUUUUAGCCUUGCGGCCGUACUCCCCAGGCGGAGUGCUUAAUGCGUUAGCUUCGGCACGGGGGGAGUCGACACCCCCCACACCUAGCACUCAUCGUUUACGGCGUGGACUAC
rnacentral:misc_RNA from 1 species